rnacentral:lncRNA from 1 species
UGACUUUUUUUUGUUAUGGCGUUUUAACUGGGAGCUCUGUGUGUCUUCUUUGGAGUAUGAAUUCUUUUAUUUCCAACCACAUUCCCCCAAAGUUGCGUGUAUGAUGAAACUAAUUAAAUACUUGUGUUCACACUUGUUUACACUUGUUCACACUAUAGUUACACUUUGGACACUGAAAAUAUAGUUUUUUUUUUGUUAUGACGUUUUAACUAGGAGCUGGCUCAAAAAAAUGGUUUUUUAGCUGUUGUAAUUUAUAGUUCAAAAAAUAGCUUUUUUUAUGGCGUUCAAAAAAAUGUUUUUUUUAGCUGUUGUAAAUUAUAGAUAAAAAAAUAGCUUUUGAGUGUUUUAUGGAGUUCAAAAAAAUGGUUUUUUUGAGCUGUUGUAAAUUAUAGCUUAAAAAAUAGCUUUUGAGUGUUUGGCGUUUUUCUGAAUUGGGUGUUGUUAUGGCGUUUUAUUUUGAACACCCAGUUCAUCUGAGUAAGUUUUUUGACAAUAUUACCCAUUAGUGUAAUUUAACAUCAAUGUCACAUGUCACCACCAAAAUCGUUCUCACCGUUCUCACACUUUUCACCGUUCUCUCUAAUUUAAUGAAUCCAAACGGUCAAAUUCAAAUUUUCAUAUCUCACAACGGUUCAAAAAUAACGUUUCUCCACGCGUGAUCACGAACACGUUUAACUUGCAUCACGCGUGAUACACGGCACCAACGGUGGUGUAUCACGGUGUUCGACUCGUUAUGUGUUGCUCAUAACGUGGCGCCCGGCUCUAAAAAAAUGUGUGGUCCGCUCUAAAAAGAUGUGUGGUAAAAUGAAUAGUGCGAGGUAGUUUGAACUUUCGGAAAGAGAGACACAUAGUUUGACUUUUGACUGUUGCCGUUGUUGAAUAUUCAAAUUCAUUCAAAUACAAUUUUAAAUUUGAACUAGUUUCCUAGAAUGCG